rnacentral:tRNA from 1 species
AAUGAUGUAGCUCAACGGUAGAGCGUGGGAAUCAUAAUCCUAAUGUUGUAGGUUCAAAUCCUACUAUCAUUA